rnacentral:rRNA from 1 species
GAGUUUGAUCGUGGCUCAGAAUCAACGCUGGCGGCGUGCCUAACACAUGCAAGUCGAACGAGAAAGUGGAGCAAUCCAUGAGUACAGUGGCGACCGGGUGAGUAACACGUGACUAACCUACCCUCGAGUGGGGAAUAACUCCGGGAAACCGGAGCUAAUACCGCAUAACAUCGCAAGAUCAAAGCCGAAAGGCGCUUGAGGAGGGGGUCGCGGCUGAUUAGCUAGUUGGCGGGGUAAUGGCCCACCAAGGCGAAGAUCGGUAUCCGGCCUGAGAGGGCGCACGGACACACUGGAACUGAAACACGGUCCAGACUCCUACGGGAGGCAGCAGUGGGGAAUUUUGCGCAAUGGGGGAAACCCUGACGCAGCAACGCCGCGUGGAGGAUGAAGUCCCUUGGGAUGUAAACUCCUUUCGACCGGGAAGAUACUGACGGUACCGGAAGAAGAAGCACCGGCUAACUCUGUGCCAGCCGCCGCAGUAAG